AUCCUUUUGUGGUUCAUAAUGUGAUGAUUAGACUUACACACAUCUCUGUGACAUGUGCCUUCCCCCAACCUUGUUACAACAUUGGCAUAUUACCUGUCUGACG
ensembl:snoRNA